rnacentral:tRNA from 1 species
AAACUUGCGAAAUUUUAAUUCACAUCUUCUGAAUGCAACUCAGAUACUUUUAUUAAGAUAAAGCUUCCU